rnacentral:rRNA from 1 species
GACGAACGCUGGCGGCGUGCCUAAUACAUGCAAGUAGAACGCUGAAGGAGGAGCUUGCUUCUCUGGAUGAGUUGCGAACGGGUGAGUAACGCGUAGGUAACCUGCCUGGUAGCGGGGGAUAACUAUUGGAAACGAUAGCUAAUACCGCAUAAUAGUAGAUGUUGCAUGACAUUUGCUUAAAAGGUGCAAUUGCAUCACUACCAGAUGGACCUGCGUUGUAUUAGCUAGUUGGUGGGGUAACGGCUCACCAAGGCGACGAUACAUAGCCGACCUGAGAGGGGGAUCGGCCACACUGGGACUGAGACACGGCCCAGACUCCUACGGGAGGCAGCAGUAGGGAAUCUUCGGCAAUGGACGGAAGUCUGACCGAGCAACGCCGCGGGAGGGAAGAAGGGUGUCGGAUCGUAAAGCUCUGUUGUAAGAGAAGAACGAGUGUGAGAGUGGAAAGUUCACACUGUGACGGUAGCUUAACAGAAAGGGACGGCUAACUACGUG